GAACUCUGUAUCAGAAGGUUUUCGAGCUGAACAUAAACAUACAGACCAUAAUAAAUCAGCUAAAAAUACAAGACCAGCAUGGAGAAGAAAAUCUCAUGUUCCAGAAGGUUCUCGAGCUGAGCGGUCUCAUACAGUGGCGAAAGAUAGAAGAUAAUGUCACGCACUACCAUCACAAUGUCAAAGAGCAAGGAACUCGAAGAGGCCAG